AGAGUUUGAUCCUGGCUCAGAACGAACGCUGGCGGCAUGCCUAACACAUGCAAGUCGAACGAGGGCUUCGGCCCUAGUGGCGCACGGGUGAGUAACGCGUGGGAACCUGCCCUGUGGUACGGAAUAACUCCGGGAAACUGGAGCUAAUACCGUAUGUGUCUUGAGGGACAAAGAUUUAUCGCCAUGGGAUGGGCCCGCGUAGGAUUAGCUUGUUGGUGGGGUAACGGCCUACCAAGGCAACGAUCCUUAGCUGGUCUGAGAGGAUGAUCAGCCACACUGGGACUGAGACACGGCCCAGACCCCUACGGGAGGCAGCAGUGGGGAAUAUUGGACAAUGGGCGCAAGCCUGAUCCAGCAAUGCCGCGUGAGUGAUGAAGGCCUUCGGGUUGUAAAGCUCUUUCGCACGCGACGAUGAUGACGGUAGCGUGAGAAGAAGCCCCGGCUAACUUCGUG
rnacentral:rRNA from 1 species